rnacentral:lncRNA from 1 species
CCCCCCCCCCCCCCCCCCCCCCCCCCCCGCCAAGUAGGGGAGGAAAGAUGAGGUGUGGAUAAUGACUUGUGGGAUGGAGAUGAAGGCUCCAGAGCUGCGUUCGGCACUCAUUUAAUUUCGAUCAUUAACUCACCGAUGUAUUUGAAAGCCUCCUCUUGUCCCAAGACUUUAUUGCUCAAAGGAGGCUCUAUCCUACCAGAGCGUUUAUCUACCCAACAACUGGGCUGGGGGAGUAGUAGUGUCUCCAUAGCAUAAACGAGGAAACUGUGAUUCAGAGAGGCUAAGUAAACUGCCUGAUGCCACACAGCAACAUGCAGUGAUGAAUAUGAGUUUCAAACUUGGAUUUGUCUGGCUCCAAAAUCUCUGUCUUCUAUAACAGUAAAACAAAGGAGGAGAAGAACGAGAGGUGGUACGCCUAGAUGGCCAGGUGAAAAUGGAGCACUGCCAAGCAAGCCCCAAGGAAAUGUGCAACCUCCACAGGAUGUUUUAUUAUUGGCUUGGGAGGAAGUGGUAAGUGUGCAGACAUCAUCCUACAUUUGAAUGCUUUCUUAAGAACUAAU